GCCUAAAUUAGCCUAGAGACUGUUACUGCAAGUAUGGUGGAUUUGACACUCGGUUUGUAAUCGAGUGGGCUCGGGUUCGAAUCCCGAAUAAGGCA